UUGCCGUUGGUUCACCCUCCAAUGGCUGCUGCGGCUGGCGCGCUGCGGCCGGCGCACUGCACUGAUCCGAUGGCAGGAGCCAGGUGCUUCUCCUGGUCUCCCAUGGGGUGCAGGGCCCAAGCACUUGGGCCAUCCUCCACUGCCUUCCCGGGCCACAGCAGAGAGCUGGCCUGGAAGAGGGGCAACUGGGACAGAAUCUGGCGCCCCGACUGGGACUAGAACCCAGUGUGCCCGCGCCGCAAGGCGGAGGAUUAGCCUAGUGAGCCGCGGCGCCGGCCCUGUUUUUUAAUUUUAUUUUCGUUUUUUAAAGAUUUAUUUUAUUUAUUUGAAAGAGUUACACAGAGAGGUAGAGAGAGAGAGAGAGAGAGAGAGAGAGAUCUUCCAUUUUGCUGGUUCACCCUCCAGAUGGCCACAAUGGCCAGAGCUGAGCUGAUCCAAAGCCAGGAGCCAGGAGCUUCUUCUGGGUCUCCCACGUGGGUGCAGGGCCUAAGGACUUGGGCCAUCUUCUACUGCUUUCCCAGGCCACAGCAGAGAGCUGGAUCAGAAGUGGAGCAGCCGGGACUCCAACCGGCGCCCAUAUGGGAUGCCGGUGCCACAGGCUGGGGCUUUAACCCGCUGUGCCACAGCGCCGGCCCUGGCCCCUGUUUAUUUUAUUUUGGUUAUGGAUACUUUUUACAGCUGAUGUAAGUAGCAGGGUAUGAUUAAAUUUCCUUCAUAAUAAUUAGCUUCCUUUUCCUGCAGUUUUCAGUCACAUCAUAUUCUCUUGUUUAGUUUUCUACACGUCCAUCAGCAGCUCCUCCCAGCCCCUUGCCCAGGAUUUCAUCGCUCCACCUGGGCUUCAGUGUGUGUCAGUUGCCCAAAAGCCCCAAGGCAGGGGCUUCCCUAUACCUACUCUGAGCCUGGUGUCCUACUUUUGGUGCAUUUCUCUCUCUCUCUCUCUUUUUAAGAUUUAUUAUUUAUUUAAAGGUAGAGACACAGAAGGGGGCGGGGAGAGAAAGAGAGAUCUUCUCUCUGCUAGUUCACUCCCCAAAUGGCCACAAUGGUUAGGACUGGGCCAGGCUGAAGCCAGGAGCCUCUUUGGGGUCUCCCACAUGGGUGCAGGGGCCCACAUACUUGGGCCAUCAGCUGCUGCUUUCCCAGGUGCGUUAGCAGGGAGCCAGAUUGGAAGUGGAGCAACUGGGACCUGAACCGGCGCCCACAUGGAUGCUGACACUGCAGGCAGAGGCUGACUCUUCCGCACCAUAGCGCUGGCCCCAGCAUGCCUCUCUCUGUAUCCUGAGUCCUCUGGGGAGUGGUCCGUCUGAAGUGUGACCUCACGAGGAUUUCCCAGGUCAAGCAUCCAGAGCCCCAUUGCGCUAAUUCAGCUGUGCGGCGCUUGCGGUCGUGGUCCUGUCAGUGUCCACUCUGGCCCUGUCUCCACUUUCUUGGCUCUGAGUUUCCACUUUUCCAUCCCUGUGCGUCUUCCCUGACGCUGGUGUCUGUUUCUGGAGGUGCUUUUCCAGUGAACUUUUGGGAAGGAAUGAAGGCAGACUCCUGUGUGAGGUCUGCGUGCUGGACUGCACUUAGGCCCCACUCUGUUCUCACGUCCCACUUAUCAGUCCAUCCUCACAGGCCUGGGCGCAUGUGUACUUGUCUCCCUGGAUUCCCUAGUCCAUGAGAGGACGGCGGAUGUGCCCGUGUCCAAGCUGGGAGUCGCAGGGCCACGGUGCAGCCUCUGCCCUUUCUCGUCUCGUGCUGGGAUGCAGUCUGUGAAUUCUGUCAACAGAUGGUUUGGUUUAGCCUUUCUCCUAGUGAGUUCAUGUGUGUAAGUUUCCAUAUUGACCUGAAAUUAACUUUUGGAACUAGAGGAUUCCUAUAAUGUUGUUGCACUGUGGUCGUUAGGCAGAUGCUGCCCUGUGUUAGCAGUAUUGCCACACACUGGACCUCAGACUACACAGGUUACUUCUCAUGUGCCUGACUUGCAGCAAGAUCUAGUUUUUGUGCUGGGAACGUUGAGUUCAUUCUCUUGGGUGAAGGUUAGUCGUGCUUUCUUAGCAUCCUAAGCCCUGCUGUGGCAUCUGAGGUAGGUAGUGGAGGCAUGGCCUGAUGAUGCAGGGGGCUAAGCCGCCACUUGAGAUGUUGGCAUUCCAUAUCAGAGUGCCACUUGGAGUCCUGGCUAGGUCGCUUUUUUUUUUUUUUUAAAGUUAUUUAUUUGAAACACAGAGUUACAGAGAGGCAGAGGCAGAGAGAGAGAGAGGUGUCUUCCAUGCACUGGUUCACUCCCCAAAUGGCCGCAGUGGCUGGAGCUGGGCCAAUCUGAAGCCAGGAGCCAAGAGUUUCUUCGGGUCUCCCACAUGGGUGCAGGGGCCCAAGGACUUGGGCCAUCUUCCUCUGUUUUCCCAGGCCACAGCAGAGAGCUUGAUCAGAAAUGGAGCAGUGGGGACCUGAACUGGCGCCCCAUGGGAUGCCAGCGCUGCAGGCGGCUUUACCCUCUACGCCGCAGUGCUGGCUCCAGGCUUACACGUUACGUCCGAGGACUGUGGAAUCAGAGCCUGCUCUUCUGCUGUAGCGCCGCUGCUCGCUCUUUUGCUCAGCAAGUGUGUGUGAUGCUCACUGGGCAGUUCCAGGUGCUGGGGACUGAGUGCUAGCAGGACCGACCCGCUUCCUGGCCUUCCUCGCGAUGUUAGCACGCAGUCUGCAGUAGGCGCAGACCAUCAGAAGUCCUGGCAAGGAAAGGCAGGGGUGGUGUGCCGGUUGUGUAACAGGGAGCCCGACCUACAUAGCAGAGCUUCCCCAGGGAAAUGCUUUUCUUUUGAGCUGACGUUCUGAAACUAAGUAGAAAUCAGCAAGGCGAAGGUGGGAGAAGAAGGAGCCUCCAGGUGGAGGCUGGUGUGGAGAGGCCUGACGCGGCGAAGGGGCUUUGAGGGGCCUGGAGCUUGUAUCUGGAGGAGGCUGUUGGUCUGCAUUCCUGGAGCACCUGGAAGGCGCUGAAGGGUUUGAGCAGAGAAGGAUGCCUCGUACGAUUUAGUGUUCUAGGGCCGGCGCUGUGGUGUAGCAGGUUAAGCUGCUGCCUGCGAUGCCGGCAUCCCACAUGGGCUUUGGUUUGAGUCGUGGCUGCUCCAUUUCUCGUCCAGAUCCUUGCGGAUGCUCCUGGGAAAGCAGCGGAAGCUGCCCAAGUCCUUGGGCUCCUGCCACCCAUGUGGGAGACCUGGAUGAAGCUCCUGACUCCUGACUUCAGCGUGGCCCAGCCCUGGCCAUUGCAGCCAUUUGGAGAAUGAGCCAGUGGAUGGAAGGUCUCUUCCCUCCCCUACACCCCCAUCUCCGCCUUGUAACUGCCUUUCAAAUAAAUCAAUAAAUGUUAGCGUUUCACAGCAUGCCUCAGUUUGGAGGGGUUGAGUGUGUGAGGGGGCUCAGCUGGGAGGCCGGUGCAGUGUUUGGCUGGACUGGCGAUUGCUUGGAGUAGGAGUGCUCGAGGAGGUGCAGCCCUAGCCCUCAGGUUCCUGCGCGAGGCUUGAGGGUCUGGGCCCGCUGGUGGUCCUGCGCCGCAGCAGUGCUUCUCAAUCCUGUCUGAGUUCCUGGGGGAGCUUGUUCCACCUGAGGGGUCCUGGCGAGGCCCGGAGCCCUUGGUGCUGACUCAGGUGAGCCCUGCGAGCAGCAGGAGGUGGGGACUCCCGGGUGAUUCCAGCCGCUGUGUGGCUGAGAACGCGGCUGUCACUCUUUCUCUCAAGCAGGUGGGGACGUUGAAUGUGGAGCAGGUUUGUGUGUUUGCUUUAGUUAAAGGCAGAGAAAGAGAAUAUCUCUGGAAUCUGCUGCUUCAUCUCCCAGAUGCCCACAAUAGCCAGGGCUGGGCUGAGCUUCCAGGGGCUUGAACUGAAUCCAGGUCUCCCAUGUGGGUGACAGGGACCCAAGCCCUGAACCAUUCCCUACCGCCUUUCAGAAUUUGCUCUAGCAGGAAGCUGGUCAGAAGCAGAGGAGCCAGGACCAGGCUCUGAGGUGGGGAUUUUUUUUUUUUUUAAUAUUUAUGUAAAAGGCAGAGGGACAGAGAGGAAGAGACAUGGAGAAAGAGACCUUCUUUCUUUGGUUCACCCCCUAAAGUGGCCAUGAAGGUGGGGCUGGCAUAGGCUGAAGCCAAGAGCCGGGAAGUCCAUCUAGGUCUUCCGUGUGGGUGGCAGGGGCUCAAGUACUUGGGCCAUCUUCUGCUGUCUUCUCAGUGCAUUGGCAGGGAACUGGAUUGGAAGCAGAGCAACUGGAACUCACGUGGUGUAUGACAUGGGGUGCAGCUGCACAAGCAGUGGCUUACUCCACUGCACCACAACACUGCUUACCCAGGCAGCAUCUUUAACUGCUCUGACAGACACCGGCCCAGCGGAGCAGAUGUUCAACAUCUCUCUCUGCUGAUAGUGGCCUGCUCCUAUAAACCAGGAGGCCUGUUCCUGUAGAGAAAGAGGUCCCUUGUUCCUGCAGACCAGGAGGUCCUUGUUCCUGUAGACCAGGCACCUGUUCCUGUAGACCAGGAGGUCCCUGUUCUUGUAGACCAGGAGGUCCCUUGUUCCUGUAGACCAGAAGGUCCUUGUUCCUGUAGACCAGGAGGUCCUUGUUCCUGUAGACCAGGCACCUGUUCCUGUAGACCAGGAUGCCUGUUCCUGUAGACCAGGAUGCCUGUUCCUGUAGACCAGGAGGUCCUUGUUCCUGUAGACCAGGAGGUCCCUGUUCCUGUAGACCAGGAUGCCUGUUCCUGUAGACCAGGAAUCCUUGUUCCUGUAGACCAGGAAUACUUGUUCCUGUAGACCAGGAUGCCUGUUCCUGUAGACCAGGAAUCCUUGUUCCUGUAGACCAGGAAUCCUUGUUCCUGUAGACCAGGAUGCCUGUUCCUGUAGACCAGGAGGUCCUUGUUCCUGUAGACCAGGAGGUCCUUGACCUGUAGACCAGGAGGUCCUUGUUCCUGUAGACCAGGAUGCCUGUUCCUGUAGACCAGGAGGUCCUUGUUCCUGUAGACCAGGAGGUCCCUGUUCCUGUAGACCAGGAUGCCUGUUCCUGUAGACCAGGAAUCCUUGUUCCUGUAGACCAGGAAUACUUGUUCCUGUAGACCAGGAUGCCUGUUCCUGUAGACCAGGAAUCCUUGUUCCUGUAGACCAGGAAUCCUUGUUCCUGUAGACCAGGAUGCCUGUUCCUGUAGACCAGGAGGUCCUUGUUCCUGUAGACCAGGAGGUCCUUGACCUGUAGACCAGGAGGUCCUUGUUCCUGUAGACCAGGAUGCCUGUUCCUGUAGACCAGGAGGUCCUUGUUCCUGUAGACCAGGAGGUCCUUGUUCCUGUAGACCAGGUGGUCCUUGACCUGUAGACCAGAGGGUCCCUGUUCCUGUAGACCAGACGCCUGUUCCUGUAGACCAGGAGGUCCUUGUUCCUGUAGACCAGGAGGUCCUUGUUCCUGUAGACCAGGAUGCCUGUUCCUGUAGACCAGGAAUCCUUGUUCCUGUAGACCAGGAAUCCUUGUUCCUGUAGACCAGGAUGCCUGUUCCUGUAGACCAGGAUGCCUGUUCCUGUAGACCAGGAGGUCCUUGUUCCUGUAGACCAGGAGGUCCUUGACCUGUAGACCAGGAGGUCCUUGUUCCUGUAGACCAGGAUGCCUGUUCCUGUAGACCAGGAUGCCUGUUCCUGUAGACCAGGAGGUCCUUGUUCCUGUAGACCAGGAGGUCCUUGUUCCUGUAGACCAGGAGGUCCUUGUUCCUGUAGACCAGGAGGUCCUUGUUCCUGUAGAGCAGGAGGUCCUUGUUCCUGUAGACCAGGAUGCCUGUUCCUGUAGACCAGGAGGUCCCUGUUCCUGUAGACCAGGAUGCCUGUUCCUGUAGACCAGGAGGUCCCUGUUCCUGUAGACCAGGAGGUCCCUGUUCCUGUAGACCAGGAGGUCCCUGUUCCUGUAGACCAGGAUGCCUGUUCCUGUAGACCAGGAGGUCCCUGUUCUUGUAGACCAGGAUGCCUGUUCCUGGAGACCAGGAAGUCCCUGUUCCUGUAGACCAGGAGGUCCCUGUUCCUGAAGACCAGGAGGUCCUUGUUCCUGUAGACCAGGAGGUCCUUGUUCCUGUAGACCAGGCACCUGUUCAUGUAGACCAGGAGGUCCUUGUUCCUAUAGACCAGAAUGCCUGUUCCUGUAGACCAGGAGGUCCUUGUUCCUGUAGACCAGGAGGUCCCUGUUCCUGUAGACCAGGAGGUCCUUGUUCCUGUAGAGCAGGAGGUCCUUGUUCCUGUAGACCAGGAUGCCUGUUCCUGUAGACCAGGAGGUCCCUGUUCCUGUAGACCAGGAUGCCUGUUCCUGUAGACCAGGAGGUCCCUGUUCCUGUAGACCAGGAGGUCCUUGUUCCUGUAGACCAGGAGGUCCUUGUUCCUGUAGACCAGGUGGUCCUUGUUCCUGUAGACCAGGUGGUCCUUGACCUGUAGACCAGAGGGUCCCUGUUCCUGUAGACCAGGAGGUCCUUGUUCCUGUAGAGCAGGAGGUCCUUGUUCCUGUAGACCAGGAUGCCUGUUCCUGUAGACCAGGAGGUCCUUGUUCCUGUAUACCAGGAUGCCUGUUCCUGUAGACCAGGAGGUCCCUGUUACUGUAGACCAGGAGGUCCUUGUUCCUGUAGACCAGAUGCCUGUUCCUGUAGACCAGGAUGCCUGUUCCUGAAGACCAGGAGGUCCUUGUUCCUGUAGACCAGGAGGUCCUUGUUCCUGUAGACCAGGAUGCCUGUUCCUGUAGACCAGGAGGUCCUUGUUCCUGUAGACCAGGAUGCCUGUUCCUGUAGACCAGGAUGCCUGUUCCUGUAGACCAGGAGGUCCUUGUUCCUGUAGACCAGGAGGUCCUUGACCUGUAGACCAGGAGGUCCUUUUUCCUGUAGACCAGAUGCCUGUUCCUGUAGACCAGGAGGUCCUUGUUCCUGUAGACCAGGAUGGCUGUUCCUGUAGACCAGGAGGUCCUUGUUCCUGUAGAGCAGGAGGUCCUUGUUCCUGUAGACCAGGAUGCCUGUUCCUGUAGACCAGGAGGUCCCUGUUCCUGUAGACCAGGAUGCCUGUUCCUGUAGACCAGGAGGUCCCUGUUCCUGUAGACCAGGAUGCCUGUUCCUGUAGACCAGGAGGUCCCUGUUCCUGUAGACCAGGAGGUCCUUGUUCCUGUAGAGCAGGAGGUCCUUGUUCCUGUAGACCAGGAUGCCUGUUCCUGUAGACCAGGAGGUCCCUGUUCCUGUAGACCAGGAUGCCUGUUCCUGUAGACCAGGAGGUCCCUGUUCCUGUAGACCAGGAGUUCCUUGUUCCUGUAGACCAGGAGGUCCUUGUUCCUGUAGACCAGGUGGUCCUUGUUCCUGUAGACCAGGUGGUCCUUGACCUGUAGACCAGAGGGUCCCUGUUCCUGUAGACCAGGAGGUCCUUGUUCCUGUAGAGCAGGAGGUCCUUGUUCCUGUAGACCAGGAUGCCUGUUCCUGUAGACCAGGAGGUCCUUGUUCCUGUAUACCAGGAUGCCUGUUCCUGUAGACCAGGAGGUCCUUGUUCCUGUAGACCAGAUGCCUGUUCCUGUAGACCAGGAUGCCUGUUCCUGAAGACCAGGAGGUCCUUGUUCCUGUAGACCAGGAGGUCCUUGUUCCUGUAGACCAGGAUGCCUGUUCCUGUAGACCAGGAGGUCCUUGUUCCUGUAGACCAGGAUGCCUGUUCCUGUAGACCAGGAUGCCUGUUCCUGUAGACCAGGAGGUCCUUGUUCCUGUAGACCAGGAGGUCCCUGUUCCUGUAGA